GCCCGGGGACCGGCCUCCGCCGCGGGCUCUGCCCGCUCGCCUGCUCGCCUGGUGGGGGAGAGGGGAGCGGGGCCGACACAGGACUGCAGUUGACAGCAGAUAACUGAAAGCUCGGAAAGCGAAACCGUGGAUAAGCAGGGGAACUGUGGCAUCCCAUUUAAAAUUGCUUCUGAAGAGAAGCAUGAGGUUACAUCUGUAAUCUCCCUGCAGCAGAGUCAACUGCAUAAGAAACCAAAAGACACACCUGCUCCAUGCCAGCCUAAGCCACCACAUAAAAAGUCAGACCAUCUGCUGGAAGAACCACAUGGAGAGGCCCUGAGUCAACAUGGAGAGGAAGAAGGACUUGACUGAAUCCAGCCUUCCAGCUGUCCCUACCAAGGUGCCAGGCAUGAGAAUGAAGCUGUCUUGAACUCUGAAGACCAGCUUAGCCACCAGAUGCCAAACACUGAGCAGGCUUUGUUCUCCACCCACAAACCAGAGGCUGUCUCAGCAGGAAGGAGUUGGAGUUGGAGAAAAAGGAGAAUUAAGAAUCUAUCUGGCGAUGUGGAUUAAAUAAACAACAAAUUGGCAGAUUGUUUUUAAAAGAACUUCCAGCUUCUAGAGACUACUAGUCAAUUAGAAAAAUAAAUGCAUCAUUAUAACUGUGGAAGUGCUACAAAGGAGAAGUUCAUGAUGAUAAAAGAUCCUCAUGAUAGAGGCAUGGGAGUGAACAGAGUUCCCUGAGGAGCCAUUUGAGCUGAAGGUGAAAGGACAAGCAGAAGUUUACCAGCUAAACAAGGGAGGGAAGAUCAUUCCAAGGAGAGGGAACAUGAUGUGCAAACCCCCUUUGGCAUGAGUGAACUUGGCAAGGGUGAGACACUGCCAUUGGACAGUGAACUGGAGCCAACAGGAUGAACAAGAAGCAGCGGGAAGAUGUUCAUGAUAUGCUGGAGAGACAGGAGCUGGAGGCUGCAGUAAGAUCUCCAUGCUUUACCUUAAGAGGAAUGAGAAGCCACUGGAGGAUUUUGAGCAGGGCAGUGAUGUGAUUUGCAUUUUGCAAAGUACACUGCAAAAUGAAUCUAGGUCAGAAGAGAUAACUGAAUGUGGGAGUACAAGGAAAAAGCCCCCGUGAGAGGGCUGCGGGGGAAAUGGUUUCCCCAGGUUAGAUCCACGCUUUCAGUAAGAAAGGAGGUGGUGUGAAAGGAGAAGAUUGACUGAGGAGGAGGAGAAGUCUGCUGGUUUUGGGGGAGUGGCUGUGAGGGUCGUAGCAGGCUGAGCUGGGGAAGGCAGGAGCUCUGGCCAGUGAAGGGAUGGCUGAUGGCCUGGUGCGGACCCUGGCUGGAGGGCUCACACACUGGACGCUGACUAACAAAACAGACGAAAAUGGGGAGUAUGAGGAUCUGUCUCAAGGGGGCCUUUGAGGAGGGCAAACAGGCCUUUGAGACAGGUCCAGACACUGGCACCCUGCCUGCUUCUGUAGAAUUUAACGUACCUGAGGUUGCCAAGCUGGUGUCAUGGAGUGGCCAGAAGCCAGCUUCCAGUCUGAGGCAGUGGGUGAACCUAAACCACACUAUUUGAUUCACUUCUGUGUUUCUGGAAACUUUUAUGUUCUGAUCAAUGCAAAUAUGCCUACUGUAACAGCUGGCAAUGCCCAUGUCUCCACAAGGCCUGAGAAUAUGAUCACAAUGGCAGUACAUCUCACCCAGGCUUCUGCUGGAUGGAGGGCUUCCAGAGACGGAGGGACAGCUCGGUCAAUACCAUCCAAGAGGAGGUUCAACUCCAGACCUAGGCCAGCUGAAGGUCAAUGACAAGGGCAAGAUGCUCUCUGCAGUCAACAUCACACACUUGUCUCAAUAGAAGGAAGGAAUUUAUAUAAAAUAAGAAGUGGAAAGAGAAUAACAUCUGUGACAGUGAGAUGACAUUUCCACCCGAUUCUGAUUCCAUCUAAUAGCCAGUGCAGGUGUGGGGGAGGGAGGAGGGAGACAGGGUGGUUGGGGCUGGAAUAAAUGUUUUCAGCAGAACCAUGCCUCAGAUGGCUCUCAGAACUCAGCCUAGAAGGCAAGCCAGUUCAGAGGCACAGGGAGACUUAUGGAGACGACAUAAAUGAACAGAAAAUAAACUGUACAUUUGGCAAGACUGGCACUGUAAGUCUGUGCUG
ensembl:lncRNA ITGA9-AS1 ITGA9 antisense RNA 1